ensembl:lncRNA
UGCGUCCUUGUGGGAGCAACGCACCGCAGUGUCCUGACUGGAACCGGCUGGAACGCAUUCCCCCCGUGCGCAUUCACUCACAAUUUGUCAUACGUUGUCCCAGGCCGCACACGCAGAAGAGCUUGCUGCGCCGUAUUGUUUUCAUCCGGUUAACGACGCCACUAUCAAUCUCGCCCAUCAUCAUAGACAUCAAACCAUCAUACCAGGGGGAUAGGCUGCGGGCCAGCGCUGCGUGGGCGUGUAUGUGUGAUGACAUGGGACCGUCUCUGACCUGGGACCCAGUGGGAAAGUGAAAGUUGUUCGAAGCAGUGGAGAAGAAUGUGGUCCAGCUCCGUCUAGGAGGGGAGGAUCAGGAGCAGCUUGUUGCCGCGACCAGGGACUACUGAGACUGGUGCUUAUCUUACUACUGUCAACACAAGGUGCUGCCUAGCCUGGAGAGAGAGAGAGAGGGGAGUGAGAGAGGAGGAGAGAGAGUGAGGGACGCCACGUUGCCUCACAGGAGCAUCAUGGAUUUGCUGCAGGACUCUCGGUGGACCAUGCAGGGCCUCAACAGCCGUCUGAAGGGCUUCCUGGAGCAGGUAAACAAGCUGCAAGAGGCAAACUUGUGUCUGGAGGGCCAGAUUGCAGACUGGGGUCUGAGGAACGCUCCGCACCCCCAGGAAUGGACCCAGCAGGAAAGCACUGUGGCCGACCUUCGUUCCCAGGUUGGUAAGCUGCUGAUGGAGAAUGCAGAGCUGGUGCUGCAGUCUGACCACAUGAUGUCCAGGGCUUCUACCAUCCAGGCCAGAUGUGAGGCGGAAGAGAGGCGGACCAAAUGUCUGGAGCAACAGGUGGCUCUGCUGAGGGAGAACCAGAUGAGGGUGGAGCAAACCAAUGUACAGCUGGAGGCGGAGCUACACCACUCCAUGACAGAGCUGCAGGACAUGCACCAGGACUAUGUGGUACGGUCUUGUGCCAGUGUCCGUGUGCAUGUUGCAAGGGUCUUAGGGUCUGUACGGUUGCGGACAGCUGCUUUUGUUCAGUGAAGACAUCCGUAAAAAAAAAGGUUGAAUAAAUACUGUAACAUUUGUUUGUAAGAUAGCCUUAACUUUAGGCUAUUUACUGUAAAAUUAAUAUUGAAUUGUGUUUGGUUGCAUCAAAAAUAUCGACAUUUAAAGGAGAUGCAUCUACUGCUUGUAUAGUUCCAUCUGAGCCACUGGCUUAAUCCCAUUCUUCAACUUGUAUUUGUGGUUGAGUUGGAGACAUGAAUCCAACACAUCAUUUGUUAACAUGUCGACAGGUUAACAGGCUAUUGAUUGUAUUUGGUAUACAACCAAAUAUCAACAUUUGAAGGAGAUGUAUCUCUUGCUUGGAUAGUUCCAUCUGAGCCACUGACUUUAAUUCCAGUUUGUCUCCAAAUUAAAAGUUGAUAUGUUGAUGAAACGUCUGCAUCUCAACCAGAAAUCGAAGUUAAAGAAUAGGACUGAUUCAAAACUAACUUUGAUGAAUGGGCAUUUCAUUUGUUUUGAUUCGGUCCAAUUCUUUAACUUCGAUUUCUGUUUGAGAUGCAGACGUGAAUCCAACAUAUCAAUGAUUAAUUUGUAGACAAAAAGGAGAAAAAAAAUAAGACUAAGUCAGUGGCACAGAUGCAACUAUCCAAGCAGAAGAUACAUCUCCUUCAAAUGUUGAUAUUUGGUUGCGUUGACAACUAAAAACAUUCCAAUAUCACUAAAUAUCAUUACAAUUGAAAUCAACCAGAGCUUGAAGCCAUUGGCCUAUUUCAUUGUCUAUUUUUCCAGUUCUGGGUUGAAUUGAAAUAAUAAAAAAAAAAAGGGGCCUGGUACUGUAUAGAGACAGACAGACA